AGAGAGAGAGAGAGAGAGAGAGAGAGAGACACACAGCAGAUCUUCUCUCUGCUGUAUCAGAGGAAACAAAGCGUGUGAAGCUCCGAGUCCUCAUGAUCUGUGCGUGAUGAGCUGCGGACGCGUGUGUUUCACUGACACACACACAGACAGAUACACAAACGCACACACAGACAAACUAUUCCUCGGGACAAGCAUGUGUGUGGACAAGAUGUAUGUGACGCUGGAGCGGUGACAUCACGCAGAAAGGCUAUGAGAAGAAAAGAGGGAAAUUACUGGCGCCCUACAUUCCCCAGAUACAAGGUGUAGAUCCGUCUCUUCAGAUCGAUCACAGGAUUCAGUCUUCAGCACCGGCGGCUCAUCCGGCCUCCAAACACAACAAACCUCGGCUGGCCAACUCCAGGGAUGAGCGCUUCAGAUCAGGUGCUUCCACAUAUCUGCUUUUAUGGACAUUUCGGAAUUA